UACAGAGGUCCCAAGCGUUGUUCGGAUUCACUGGGCGUAAAGGGUGCGUAGGUGGUGGGGUAAGUCGGAUGUGAAAUCUCCGAGCUCAACUCGGAAACUGCAUUGGAAACUACCCUGCUAGAGGGUCGGAGGGGGGACUGGAAUACUUGGUGUAGCAGUGAAAUGCGUAGAUAUCAAGUGGAACACCAGUGGCGAAGGCGAGUCCCUGGACGACUCCUGACACUGAGGCACGAAAGCUAGGGGGAGCAAACAGG
rnacentral:rRNA from 1 species